rnacentral:rRNA from 1 species
GACGAACGCUGGCGGCGUGCCUAAUACAUGCAAGUCGAACGAACUCUGGUUUUUGAUUGACGGUGCUUGCACCUGAUUGAUUAAACAUUUGAGUGAGUGGCGAACUGGUGAGUAACACGUAGGAAACCUGCCCAGAAGCGGGGGAUAACACCUGGAAACAGAUGCUAAUACCGCAUAACAACUUGAACUGCAUGGUUCGAGUUUGAAAGAUGGCUCUGCUAUCACUUCUGGAUGGUCCUGCGGCGUAUUAGCUAGAUGGUGAGGUAACGGCUCACAAUGGAAAGGAUACGGAGCCGACCUGAGAGGGUAAUCGGCCACAUUGGGACUGAGACACGGACCAAACUCCUACGGGAGGCAGCAGUAGGGAAUCUUCCACAAUGGACGAAAGUCUGAUGGAGCAACGCCGCGUGAGUGAAGAAGGGUUUCGGCUCGUAAAACUCUGUUGUUAGAGAAGAACAUAUCUGAGAGUAACUGUUCAGGUAUUGACGGUAUCUAACCAGAAAGCCACGGCUAACUACGUGCCAGCCGCCGCCGUAA